rnacentral:tRNA from 1 species
GCCCGCCUAGCUCAAUCGGAUAGAGCGUCAGACUCUUAGGAGUGCGGGUUGCAGAUCCCGCGAUCUGAAGGCUGCGAGUUCGACCCUCGCGGUGGGCU